AGCUGCAAAGAUAAAAACACAGAGCAUGUCUGAGACAUGCGGAGCCGGUUGGUAGUCCGGCCGGAAGCAGCAAGCCUGCUUCUAAGUAGCCCUCCUCCUUGGUCGUCCGUUCUUUGUUCAUAAAAU
rfam:Lachnospiraceae bacterium 3_1_57FAA_CT1 genomic scaffold acsNT-supercont1.1, whole genome shotgun sequence.